rnacentral:lncRNA from 1 species
CGGGUUUUGAUUUUUAGUUGCCAUUUGCAUGUGACCCAGCUCUUCUUUGCCCCAUUGAUGGGUUUGAUUAGAAACCUGUUCUCUAUGUUCUCUCCCAUUAAACCCCUUUUAUACUUUGAAUUAAUUUAUAUGGAUUACUUUCAAACAGGUUUGACUUGGAGAAAGAACCACACAAAAAAUGGUAAAAUACCAAGAAAAUCAUGGAAACAAGGCCAGCCCAGCAUUCCCUACACAGUUCCUGUUUUACUCCAGCAGAAUGUAGCUCCAAUAUGGCUCAGAACAGUGCUGUUGACCAUAUAUAUUCCCUAAGUCAAUUGCAAUACUACACAUGCUAUUUAUUUACACAGAAGAGAAAGGAAAGAAGAAACUGGAUACAUUAACCAUCAAAACAUUAUCCAGCUUAAUAUGCUGGAGAAGCUGUUGACAGAAUGAUUUGUUGAGAACAGCAACCUAAACCCACAUAUUUAGAACAUAAUUCUCCUGAAAUUCCCUGUUGGGAUGAACUGCAUAAACAUGAUACUUAUGGUUCAAACCUAG